rnacentral:lncRNA from 1 species
GCUGUCGGUGCCCUCUGGAGGAAUUUUCAGGAAUUGCAGAAGCCCAGCCAGAAUGGAAAAUAUUUUGUUCAGCUCACUUAAGAGACCCAAUGAAAACAGAAUCAUAGACACAGGGCAAGAGAAAAAAUGCUUUUUUGCUUGAAGAGGGAAGGAAAGAUUCCAUGGUCAAGGCCAACUAACAGAGAAGAGGACAAAGAUACUCAGAGAGAAAAAGUAAAGGACAGAAGAAGGAGACUGGAGAGACCAGGAUCCUUCCAGCUGAACAAAGUCAGCCGCAAAACAGACUAGCCAGCAGGCUGCAAUUGGAGCCAGAGUGCCAAAGACAUGGGUUUGUUAGAGUGCUGUGCUAGAUGUCUGGUAGGGGCCCCCUUUGCUUCCCUGGUGGCCACUGGAUUGUGUUUCUUUGGAGUGGCACUGUUCUGUGGAUGUGGACAUGAAGCUCUCACUGGUACAGAAAAGUUAAUUGAGACCUAUUUCUCCAAAAACUACCAGGACUAUGAGUAUCUCAUUAAUGUGAUUCAUGCUUUCCAGUAUGUCAUCUAUGGAACUGCCUCUUUCUUCUUCCUUUAUGGGGCCCUCCUGCUGGCCGAGGGCUUCUACACCACCGGCGCUGUCAGGCAGAUCUUUGGCGACUACAAGACCACCAUCUGCGGCAAGGGCCUGAGCGCAACGUUUGUGGGCAUCACCUAUGCCCUGACUGUUGUAUGGCUCCUGGUGUU